UUGAGCUGGAGAAAUAGGGUGGUGAUAGAUGUUAAUGUCCAACUCACCCAGGUUCCACACCAGACAGGCAGGCCGCCUGGCCAGCAAUGGCACAUUCCCAUAGAAGAUUUUCUGGUCGAAGGUGGUCUUCUCAAGUUCUGAAGUCAGAUUUGCCCUGUAAGUCCCUGUCGCUUCUGUUAGGACUUGGUGUUUUUUUCUACUGCCGGUCGCCGGGACCUUCUCUCAGUGUGGCCUGGGCCAAACUGGUAAACCUUCUUGAGACUCAUUUUCCUCAACUGUGAAAUGGAAUGGAAUAAUGCCAGCAUCACUAGGUGAAUGGAAGAGUUAAAGGAGAAGGCUGUGCAACAUAGCAAUGAAGAAUUCUUAGUUCCUUUUCUUCUUUCCAUUCCUUUUAAGGCUUAUAAUCUCUCACUAUCAUGUAUCUUGUAAGUAUUCAUGUGUAUGCAUACGUGUAAUUAUCUGUUUGGGGCACGGUAGAAAGGAGGAAUAACAAAGAAACACACAAGAACUCUCUCAAAAGAAGUUGCAGUUUACUUAGGGAGGA